rnacentral:rRNA from 1 species
GACGAACCGUCCGAACGUUAUUCGGAAUUACUGGGCUUAAAGGGUGCGUAGGCGGUGCUGUAAGUCGGGUGUGAAAUCCCACAGCUCAACUGUGGAACUGCGCCCGAUACUGCAGUGCUAGAGGGAGACAGAGGUAAGCGGAACUGAUGGUGGAGCGGUGAAAUGCGUUGAUAUCAUCAGGAACACCGGUGGCGAAAGCGGCUUACUGGGUCUCUUCUGACGCUGAGGCACGAAAGCUAGGGUAGCGAACGGGAUUAGAUACCCGUGUA